UACAGAGGUCUCGAGCGUUGUUCGGAUUCAUUGGGCGUAAAGGGUGCGUAGGUGGCGCUGUAAGUCGGGUGUGAAAUCCUGAGGCUUAACCUCGGAACUGCAUUCGAUACUGCGGUGCUUGAGGACUGGAGAGGAGACUGGAAUUCAUGGUGUAGCAGUGAAAUGCGUAGAGAUCAUGAGGAAGACCAGUGGCGAAGGCGGGUCUCUGGACAGUUCCUGACACUGAGGCACGAAGGCCAGAGGAGCAAACGGG
rnacentral:rRNA from 1 species